rnacentral:rRNA from 1 species
GAGAGGUAACGGCUCACCAAGGCAUCGACGGGUAGCUGGUCUGAGAGGAUGAUCAGCCACACUGGAACUGAGACACGGUCCAGACUCCUACGGGAGGCAGCAGUGGGGAAUCUUGCACAAUGGGCGAAAGCCUGAUGCAGCGAUGCCGCGUGCGGGAAGAAGGCCCUAGGGUUGUAAACCGCUUUCAGGAGGGAAGAAAAUGACGGUACCUCCAGAAGAAGGUGCGGCCAACUACGUGCCAGCAGCCGCGGUAACACGUAGGCACCAAGCGUUAUCCGGAUUUAUUGGGCGUAAAGAGCUCGUAGGCGGUUCAGUCAGUCGGGUGUGAAAACUUGAGGCUUAACCUCAAGAGGUCACUCGAUACUACUGUGACUAGAGUGCGGUAGGGGAGCGGGGAAUUCCUGGUGUAGCGGUGAAAUGCGCAGAUAUCAGGAGGAACACCAGUGGCGAAGGCGCCGCUCUGGGCCGUAACUGACGCUGAGGAGCGAAAGCAUGGGUAGCAAACAGGAUUAGAUACCCUGGUAGUCCAUGCCGUAAACGUUGGGCACUAGGUGUGGGUCUCAACCAACGAGAUCCGCGCCGUCGCUAACGCAUUAAGUG